ACACGAACUCACCCAUUCACACACUAACCCACUCGUUCACACAACCAUUCACACACACACUCGUUCGACCAUUCACACACUAACCCAUUCACACACUAACUUGCCCAUUCACACACUCACCCAUUCACACAUUCAUACACUAACCCACCCACUCAUUCACACACUAACCCACCGACUCAUUCACACACUAACCCACUCAUUCACACACUAACUCAUCCAUUCACACACUAACCCACCCACUCAUUCACACACUAACCCAUUCAUUCACACACUAACUCACCGACUCAUUCACACACUAACUCACCCACUCGUUCACGCACUAACUUACCUACUCAUUCACACACUCAUUCACACACUAAACCGACUCAUUCAUACACUAACCCAUUCACAAACUCACCCAUUCAUUUGCACACUAACCCACUCAUUCACACACUAACCCACUCAUUCACACACUAACCCACUCAUUCACACACUAACCCACUCAUUCACACACCCACUCAUUUACACACUAACCCACUUGUUCACACACCCGCUCAUUCACACACUAACUCACCCAUUCACACACUAACUCUCCCAUUCAUUCACACAAACACCCACUCAUUCACACACCCACUCAUUUACACACUAACCCACUCGUUCACAUACCCGCUCAUUCACACACUAACCCACUCAUUCACACACUAACUCGCCCAUUCAUUCACACUAACUCACCCAUUCACACACGAACUCAUUCACACACUAACCCACCGACUCAUUCACACACUAACCAACUCACACACUAACUCACCCAUUCAUUCACAAACUAACCCACCCAUUCACACGCUAACUCACCCAUUCAUUCACAUAGUAACUCACCCACUCCUUCACACACCCACUCAUUCACACACUAACCCAUUCACACACUAACUCGCCCACUCGUUCACAAAGUAACUCACCCACUCAUUCACACAUUAACUCAUUCACACACUAACCCACCCACUCAUUCACACACUAACUCAUUCACACACUAACCCACCGGCUCAUUCACAAACCCACUCAUUCACACACUAACCCACUCAUUCACACACUCACCCACUCAUUCACACACUCACCCAGUUGUUCACACACACUCAUUCACAAACUCACCCACUCAUUGACACACUAACUCACCCACUCAUUCACACACUAACCCACCCACUCACACACAUUCAUACACUAACCCACUGACUCAUUCACACACUAACCCAUUCAUUCACACACUAACCCACUCGUUCACACACCCAUACACACACUAACCCACUCACACACCCAUUCACACACUAACCCACUCAUUCACACACUAACUCGCCCACUCGUUCACACACCCACACACUAAAUCCCUCAUUCACACGCUAACUCACCCACUCAUUCACACACUAACCCACUCGUUCACACACCCACUCAUUCACACAAUAACAUCCACUCAUUCACACACCCACUCAUUCACACACUAACUCGCCCACUCAUUCACAAACUCGCCCACUCGUUCACACUAACCCCCUCAUUCACACACCCUCACACACUCUCACACACUAACCCACUCAUUCACACACUAACCCACUCGUUCACACACCCAUUCACACUCAUCCACACAAUAACCCACCCAUUCAUGCACUAACCCACUCAUUCACACACCAACUCACCCACUCAGUCAUGCACUAACUCACCCACUCAUUCACAUACUAACCCACUCGUUCACAAACCCACUCACACACUAACUCCCUCAUUCACACACUAACCCACUCAUUCACACACUAACUCACCCACUCGUUCACACACCAAAACACUGACCCAUUCACACACUAACUCGCCCACUCAUUCACACAAACUCACCCACUCGUUCACACACUAACUCACCCACUCAUUCACACUAACUCAUUCACACAUUGACCCACCCACUCAUUCAUACAUUCACACACUAACCCGACUCACACCCACUCAUUCACACUAACCCACUCAUUCA
rnacentral:lncRNA from 10 species